UACAGGCUUAACACAUGCAAGUCGAGGGGCAGCAUGGUCUUAGCUUGCUAAGGCCGAUGGCGACCGGCGCACGGGUGAGUAACACGUAUCCAACCUGCCGUCUACUCUUGGACAGCCUUCUGAAAGGAAGAUUAAUACAAGAUGGCAUCAUGAGUCCGCAUGUUCACAUGAUUAAAGGUAUUCCGGUAGACGAUGGGGAUGCGUUCCAUUAGAUAGUAGGCGGGGUAACGGCCCACCUAGUCUUCGAUGGAUAGGGGUUCUGAGAGGAAGGUCCCCCACAUUGGAACUGAGACACGGUCCAAACUCCUACGGGAGGCAGCAGUGAGGAAUAUUGGUCAAUGGGCGAGAGCCUGAACCAGCCAAGUAGCGUGAAGGAUGACUGCCCUAUGGGUUGUAAACUUCUUUUAUAAAGGAAUAAAGUCGGGUAUGGAUACCCGUUUGCAUGUACUUUAUGAAUAAGGAUCGGCUAACUCCGUGCCAGCAGCCGCGGUAAUACGGAGGAUCCGAGCGUUAUCCGGAUUUAUUGGGUUUAAAGGGAGCGUAGAUGGAUGUUUAAGUCAGUUGUGAAAGUUUGCGGCUCAACCGUAAAAUUGCAGUUGAUACUGGAUAUCUUGAGUGCAGUUGAGGCAGGCGGAAUUCGUGGUGUAGCGGUGAAAUGCUUAGAUAUCACGAAGAACUCCGAUUGCGAAGGCAGCCUGCUAAGCUGCAACUGACAUUGAGGCUCGAAAGUGUGGGUAUCAAACAGGAUUAGAUACCCUGGUAGUCCACACGGUAAACGAUGAAUACUCGCUGUUUGCGAUAUACUGCAAGCGGCCAAGCGAAAGCGUUAAGUAUUCCACCUGGGGAGUACGCCGGCAACGGUGAAACUCAAAGGAAUUGACGGGGGCCCGCACAAGCGGAGGAACAUGUGGUUUAAUUCGAUGAUACGCGAGGAACCUUACCCGGGCUUAAAUUGCAGAUGAAUUACGGUGAAAGCCGUAAGCCGCAAGGCAUCUGUGAAGGUGCUGCAUGGUUGUCGUCAGCUCGUGCCGUGAGGUGUCGGCUUAAGUGCCAUAACGAGCGCAACCCUUGUUGUCAGUUACUAACAGGUUCCGCUGAGGACUCUGACAAGACUGCCAUCGUAAGAUGUGAGGAAGGUGGGGAUGACGUCAAAUCAGCACGGCCCUUACGUCCGGGGCUACACACGUGUUACAAUGGGGGGUACAGAGGGCCGCUACCACGCGAGUGGAUGCCAAUCCCCAAAACCUCUCUCAGUUCGGACUGGAGUCUGCAACCCGACUCCACGAAGCUGGAUUCGCUAGUAAUCGCGCAUCAGCCACGGCGCGGUGAAUACGUUCCCGGGCCUUGUACACACCGCCCGUCAAGCCAUGGGAGCCGGGGGUACCUGGAGUGCGUAACCGCGAGGAGCGCCCUAGGGUAAAACUGGUGACUGGGGCUAAGUCAU
rnacentral:rRNA from 1 species